rnacentral:rRNA from 1 species
CCUACGGGAGGCAGCAGUGAGGAAUAUUGGUCAAUGGGCGAGAGCCUGAACCAGCCAAGUCGCGUGAAGGAUGAAGGUUCUAUGGUUUGUAAACUUCUUUUAUAAAGGAAUACAGUGAGGCACGUAUGCCUUUUUGUAUGUACUUUAUGAAUAAGGAUCGGCUAACUCCGUGCCAGCCGCCGCGGUAAUACGGAGGGUCCGAGCGUUAUCCGGAUUUAUUGGGUUUAAAGGGAGCGUAGAUGGGUUGUUAAGUCAGUUGUGAAAGUUUGCGGCUCAACCGUAGAAGUGCACGUGAUACUGGCAGUCUUGAGUACAGUUGAGGUAGGCGGAAUUCGUGGUGUAGCGGUGAAAUGCUUAGAUAUCACGAAGAACCCCGAUUGCGAAGGCAGCUUACUAAACUGUGACUGACAUUGAUGCUCGAAAGUGUGGGUAUCAAACAGGAUUAGAUACCCGAGUAGUC